GCAAAAAUGGGAGAGAGCUCAGGAGGCUGAGGUGGGAGGAUCGCUUGAGCCCAGGAGUUCUGGGCUGUAGUGCACUAUGCAGAUCGGGUGUCUGCACUAAGUUCGGCAUCACUAUGGUGACCUCCCGGGAGUGGGGGACCACCAGGUUGCCUAAGGAGGGGUGAACCGGCCCAGGUCAGAACUGGAGCAGGUCAGAACUCCUGUGCUGAUCAGUAGUGGGAUUGCACCUGUGAAUAGCCACUGCACUCCAGCCUGGGCAACAUAGCAAGACCCAGUCUCA
rnacentral:SRP_RNA from 1 species